UUACUUACUUGGCAGAGGAGAUGCCAUGAUCACAAAGGUGGUUUUCCUGGUCGAGGCUUAUCCAUUGCACUCCAGAUGUGCUGAUCCCUGCGACUUCCCCAAAUGUGGGAAACUCGACUGUGGUAGUGGAGGGCUGCGUUCGUGCGCUCCCCUG
ensembl:snRNA U1 U1 spliceosomal RNA